rnacentral:sRNA from 15 species
GAUUAGAACGGCUACGGCUUUUCUAACAGGCUUUGAAACUUCAAGGGAGCUGUAAUCCUUCGCUCGAAGAGCGUAAACACAUGAAUAGUC